rnacentral:rRNA from 1 species
GUGGGGAAUUUUGGACAAUGGGCGAAAGCCUGAUCCAGCCAUGCCGCGUGCAGGAUGAAGGCCUUCGGGUUGUAAACUGCUUUUGUACGGAACGAAACGGUCCUGGCUAAUAUCCGGGGCUAAUGACGGUACCGUAAGAAUAAGCACCGGCUAACUACGUGCCAGCAGCCGCGGUAAUACGUAGGGUGCGAGCGUUAAUCGGAAUUACUGGGCGUAAAGCGUGCGCAGGCGGUGCUGUAAGACAGGCGUGAAAUCCCCGGGCUCAACCUGGGAAUUGCGCUUGUGACUGCAGUGCUGGAGUGCGGCAGAGGGGGAUGGAAUUCCGCGUGUAGCAGUGAAAUGCGUAGAUAUGCGGAGGAACACCGAUGGCGAAGGCAAUCCCCUGGGCCUGCACUGACGCUCAUGCACGAAAGCGUGGGGAGCAAACAGGAUUAGAAACCCUUGUAGUCC